rnacentral:lncRNA from 1 species
GUAUUUAAGAUUUCAAAUAAAAAGAAAAAAAAAAAGAAAACGUAGCGAAUGAUUGAUGCGCGGCGGGCGAGAGUAUUUUCCAAAAUCGACGAAUCGAUCGAGAAUCGUGCACCAAACAACGUAGACGACCAUACGAUCACAAUAUUCGAAUUAGUUUACGAUUUUCACGAUUUUUCACGUCUACCCUAGAGAAAUUCGUUGAGAUAUCGAACGAACGUGCAGGAUCGAAACGAUUCUAACGCUAACGAUUCGAAAAUAGAACCAAAUCAAUUACUACUCGAUUUUAUACGAUCGUUCGAGCAUCCUUGAGCCCUAUCACGAAGUUCGGGAAACGCAUAAUUGCUCAAAACGAAACUCCUCGAUCGGCGUACGCUUCGGUGUGCGCAGAUUCUCAUUUCGAGUCAACGUUGUUUAUUCGCGUGUAACAGCAGAACGCAAAGAAUCUUGCUCUUGAUCUCGUUUCUCAUUUUUUGAGGAUACUCUACGGAAUAUACACACAGAGAGAAGAAAAUGUUCCUAUCGAGAGCGUAAAGUAUUUUCUACGAUAGAUCGACCAAGUGGGAUGAAGGUUUUUUUCGUCGGCACGAUUCGAUAUCGUGGUCGAUGGUCGUCCUCGUCGAUGCACCGAUAUCGUAAAUGAACAAGAAAUCAAGCCACGGGCGUGCACACGACAAGACCAUGUGAGUUCAAAUCGCGUUGUAACGAAAACUGCCAACUUCAUAUUGCAAUAUACGUUUUAGUCAAUCGUGGCGAUGCACGGGGGGGAAAAAUAAAAAUAAUAAACCAGUCGACGAAACAAAGGAAUUAGAGAAAAACAAGCACUAAGCGACUAAGGAAUUGGAAAAUCUGCCUGAACGGGUGUUAAACUCCUCGAGACCUAUUUUCGGUUCGACGAUCGAUCGAUAGCAGGAGAAUACUCGGAGCAACGUUUCUCCCGUUGUAUUUUCGUUGCACCCAGUUCGAUUUCACGACGAACGAUCCGCGGUUCGCUGCACCGCCGCUUUGCUGUUCGCGUCGACGCACGGGACGAAACGCGCGCAAGCUCAACGAUCUCGCGAAACACGGCGAACAUUUCGAUCAACUCGAAUAUAGCGAUGUAUCUUCGAACGGAUAAACCGUGUUCAACGUGUUUUGUAACCUGUAUCCGUUCCCUUAGGUUUCGUAGCCGAACAAAAGAACAAAACAAUUUGUAUCAUCCUGCUCAAAAUAAAAUUAACACCGCCGGGUUACGAAUAUAUACCAUUGGGCGUGUCUGACUACACAUACAAACGUAUGAAUUGAUUUGGCUGCCAACCUUUUUGAUUUAGGGAAAUUGCAAAGUAGAGGAAAAGAAAGAAAGUAACGGAGAAGAAUCGAAUCGAAUCGAAAGAGAUACAUACGUUCGGAGUAACUCGUUGCUCAAAUCUCGGUUUUUAAGCGAAACACCGAUGUUAAUGUGAACAUUUCGUUUCGAUGUUGCUCGUAGCAUAUUAAAACAGAUGAAAAAAAGGAAAAUAAAAUAACAAACAUGUGAACUUUGAUCAAUGGAUACGAAUAAGAUGGUUUACGUUGGACUCGAACAACUAUCGAAUAUUUAUAAUUUAAUUUAGCCUCCCGUUGCUUUCAUACCAUGCUGUGUGUUUAUUAGCGAACGAGAUUCUUCAGACUUUCAUGACCUCGCUUUUUUUGCAGUUUAUAUUGUUCGAGGCUCCAGCGGGUGUAAAUCAUUUUUACGAUCUUAAUGGAUCUGCUUUAACGCCGUCGCGAGUACGACCGAGUUUAUUCUCCAGGACAGCUUGCAUUCUUUAAGCAAAUUAACUUUUUACGAUCCAGCGUCACGUAUGGCGUGACGGUUAAACCGUACGUCGAGUUGAUAAACGUUUUUCAAACGAAAAAUUGUUAGUCCGUUGAUUAAAUAAUAAAACGAAAGGUCCAGUCAAUUUAAUACACUUAACAUGGUGUACUAUAUUUUUCAUCGAGAAAGAUAUAAAUGGAAAAGUCGAGGAUGAUAUUGAGAAAGUUGUAUAUACUUUGGAUUCCAGUAUUUCGGUACAAGUUACACGAAACUUCUCGCGCUAUUUUCCAAGUGGAAACGAUUCACACUUUGAAACCUCGAACAAUAUUAGCAGGCGUCGGGCGUAAAUAUACGCGAGCGUAUUCGGCGAGAACGGUGUAUUUCUGUUCUCGGGUCUGAUCAACGAGAAAGCAUGUCCCGCUUCGUAUUACGCAAGUUUGCAAUUUCGUUCGCGUAGCUGCCAGAAUCGUCCGGGAUUUGGCACGUUUCUACGUUCGUAAACCGUUUGAAAACUUCGAAACCCCUUCGAAUCGGAGCUGUCCAACCCGCGUUACAUACAGCGAAGAAAAAUAAACGAGUUGUUCCAAGAGUAUACUAAACCGGAGCCGUGCGGAACGUCUUCGAUCGGAUGGCGAACGACCGCGAAUGUAAAAGAUGCGGAAUUCAACGGCCGAAGAUCGGAUACAGUGAUCGUGCUCAUGGACGACCGAAGGAAGAAGAACGAAAGUACGACGAGAAACGUAUUCUACGGUCGUUAACGAUAAGAAGAACAAUGUAGAUACACGCAGUCAACACAUUCACAUAUACAUAUACGUACACGAUAUAUAAGCAAAAA